rnacentral:rRNA from 1 species
GAGUUUGAUCAUGGCUCAGGACGAACGCUGGCGGCGUGCUUAACACAUGCAAGUCGAACGGUGACCCAGGGCUUGCCCUGGUGAUCAGUGGCGAACGGGUGAGUAACACGUGGGCAACCUGCCCCUGACUUCGGGAUAACUCCUCGAAAGAGGAGCUAAUACCGGAUACGACCACUUCGGACAUCCGAUGGUGGUGGAAAGUUUUUCGGUCAGGGAUGGGCCCGCGGCCUAUCAGCUAGUUGGUGGGGGUAAUGGCCUACCAAGGCGACGACGGGUAGCCGGCCUGAGAGGGCGACCGGCCACACUGGGACUGAGACACGGCCCAGACUCCUACGGGAGGCAGCAGUGGGGAAUAUUGCGCAAUGGGCGAAAGCCUGACGCAGCGACGCCGCGUGAGGGAUGAAGGCCUUCGGGUUGUAAACCUCUUUCAGCAGGGACGAAGCGAAAGUGACGGUACCUGCAGAAGAAGCACCGGCUAACUACGUG